ensembl:lncRNA LINC00343 long intergenic non-protein coding RNA 343
AGGCUGCAGUGAAUUCUACAAAGAGGCUAUGGGAAAGAAACCUGGAAAGUACCCUUGGCUGUGUACAUUUGAGUAAAGAGAGCACUAUAAAAUCAAAAACCAAUGAAAUGGUUUCCAGAACACAGAACUAUUAAGCUUAAGAAAAGGACAGAAGGAACUGAAGAGAGAGGAACUGUUUUGGAGCAUCACACUUCCACCUCAGAAGAAAUAAGGAAGGAAGGAGGAGGGUGUUCCCACGGCUCUUCAACCAGGCCGGCUCUUCAGCCUACAUCCCCAUCUCAUCAAGUAAAAGGGAUUUUUCAACUGGACCAACCAGAUGGUUUAACAGUGCACUCCCACACCAUUCAACUACGCAAGGGAGAUACACUUAACAUAUGCAGUCGUAUAACACCUACUAACAUUUUCAAACAUUAAACCUUUAAAAAAGAGUUCUAAAGAAAUAGAAGCUUGAAGUAUCAUCUCUCAAGUAUAUAGACACUACUUCAUGGUGUGGUAAUAUAUGCAUAUAGAAGCUAGUAAACACCUCCAGGAGAUGCAAAAGGAAUUAGAACUGCCACAAGGUGCAAGCAAAACCUUGAGUCUCCAUUGAUGGUGAAGUAUUUUCACUAUUUGGCAUGUCUUCUCUAGUACCUAGAGCAGUGCGUUGCAUGCAGUAGCAGGUUUAUAAACAUUUGCGAGUAAAACAUCCAACCUGAUACUCAAGGUAAUCAAUCUGCAUCCCAUUUUGGAUGAGAAUAUUUGCAACUUUGAAGGUUAUUUUAAGGACAGCAGCAGAAGAAUUAUGGCAGGUAUCUGAAAUUCAUUUCUGUGCUUUGCCGAGGACCCAUGGGAUGCCAUUUGCAGAUGAGAAAACUAAAGAAUAGCUUUAUCUUCCAGCUCUUCACGGAAAAAAAAAUGGCAACAAUAAAAUCAGCAACUCCUGCCAAAUAAAUGGGCAUAAAAAAGAAAUCAUAGACUGCUGGCAAUGGUGGGGAAAAAGUUAUAAAAAUUGUCUCUGCACCAUCUUCCUUUUGUCCUCUAAAAUAUUCACAUUAGCAAAAGUAUAUAACAGCUGAUGAAGAAAUACUGAUAAUUUGUCUUUCUUCUUUAAAAUAUGAAGACUUCGAAGUUAUUUAUCCAAACCAACCUGAUCAUUUCUUAAGAGUGAAUAUACCUUGGAAGACGUGUCCUGCCUUUAGUAGCGUCACAAUGGAUUACAUCCUCUAUAAAGCAGUCUGGGAGGCUAACAUCUGCCACAAGACAAAUAUGGUGCCUGCCCCCAUGGAGCUCAUAUUCGAAUGGAGAAAAUGUCAACAAGUAUCCCACGGAGUGAACACUUCAAAAGGAGAAGCACAGGUGAGAAAAUCGAAUUUGGACACCGUUGAGGAGACUAUUGCAGUCAUCCAAGCUCAAGAUGGUGGAGCUUCAUCCUUGAGAAUAACCAAUGGGGAUAGAUUUAAGAGACACUUAGAGUCUGCAGCCAACAGGGCUGAAUGAGCAGAGAGUUAUGAUUCAGAAGAUCAUCUAAAAUUGAACAGCUGCCACUACUGGCAAUAAGUCUACUGCCAUUUGGUAGAUAACCUUCUUAUCACACAGAAAAAUAUCAGUACAGACAAAUAGACCGCAAAGAAAAUGAGACCAUCAGCAAAGAAGAUAAAGAAGUUUGUACAAAGCAACUUUUUAUAAAUGGAUGGCUGUCAGGCAAAAAUAAAUUUCCUGUGGACAAGACCAAGAGCAAGGCAAGAGGAAAAUAAACAUGUUUAAAC